rnacentral:rRNA from 1 species
AUUGAACGCUGGCGGCAGGCUUAACACAUGCAAGUCGAACGGUAACAUAAAGGAGCUUGCUUCUUUGAUGACGAGUGGCGGACGGGUGAGUAAUGCUUGGGAAUCUAGCUUAUGGAGGGGGAUAACUACGGGAAACUGUGGCUAAUACCGCGUAGAAUCGGGAGAUGAAAGUGUGGGACCUUCGGGCCACAUGCCAUAGGAUGAGCCCAAGUGGGAUUAGGUAGUUGGUGAGGUAAAGGCUCACCAAGCCGACGAUCUCUAGCUGGUCUGAGAGGAUGACCAGCCACACUGGGACUGAGACACGGCCCAGACUCCUACGGGAGGCAGCAGUGGGGAAUAUUGCGCAAUGGGGGCAACCCUGACGCAGCCAUGCCGCGUGAAUGAAGAAGGCCUUCGGGUUGUAAAGUUCUUUCGGUAGCGAGGAAGGCAUUUAGUUUAAUAGACUAGGUGAUUGACGUUAACUACAGAAGAAGCACCGGCUAACUCCGUG